rnacentral:rRNA from 1 species
UACGUAGGCGGAAUAUUAAGUCAGUGGUGAAAUCCUGCAGCUUAACUGUAGAAUUGCCAUUGAUACUGAUCUUCUUGAAUUUAGUUGAGGUGGGCGGAAUGUGUAAUGUAGCGGUGAAAUGCUUAGAUAUUACACAGAACACUGAUUGCGAAGGCAGCUCACUAAACUAACAUUGACGCUAAGGUACGAAAGCGUGGGGAGCGAACAGGAUUAGAUACCCUGGUAGUCC